GACGAACGCUGGCGGCGUGCUUAACACAUGCAAGUCGAGCGGUAAGGCCCUUUCGGGGGUACACGAGCGGCGAACGGGUGAGUAACACGUGGGUGACCUGCCCUCAGCUCUGGGAUAAGCCUGGGAAACUGGGUCUAAUACUGGAUAUGACUCCACGGUGCAUGUCGUGGGGUGGAAAGCCUUGUGCGGCUGAGGAUGGGCCCGCGGCCUAUCAGCUUGUUGGUGGGGNGAUGGCCUACCAAGGCGACGACGGGUAGCCGGCCUGAGAGGGCGACCGGCCACACUGGGACUGAGACACGGCCCAGACUCCUACGGGAGGCAGCAGUGGGGAAUCUUGCGCAAUGGGCGAAAGCCUGACGCAGCGACGCCGCGUGAGGGAU
rnacentral:rRNA from 1 species